AUAGUCAGAAAAAUUGUGGAAUUAAAUGUCCCAACAUGGUUAAAUAAUUGGCAGCUUGAAUGCCAGUUGUUUGUCAAGAAAUAGGAAAAAACCCAGCUCUUUGAUAAAAUAGACUGGGCAACUUGUUUGGCUGCUGCUUUGCAAAUGUAUUAUCUUUGGGAAGGUUGUUGGUUUAAUGACUUCUUAAAAUACUUUCUCUUCCUAUCAAGUCUUCCAGCCUUCUCUUUUUUCUUUUCCUUACUCCCUUUUGUGAUAUGUAGGGAGAUGGAGUGUUUAGCUCCAGAAAAAUUUAGCUUAAACUGCAUUUUUUAUACAGUCUUUAUUUUUUACUGGGGUUUGUUUGCAUUUAACACUCUCUCAUGGGGAGUUGUAGUCUCUAAAAAGUAGUAGUGUUCAUUAUGCUAUUUUUUUCUCUUUUCAGCCAGAAUGGACAUUUUUAGCAGGACUUGAACUGCUUUACCAGAAUAAUUUCACUUUUGGAAAUCAAUGCUGCUUUUUUGCUGGUCUCUUUACCGGCACCAGCUGUGUUGUAACUACUUGUAAAUACAGCACGGAGCUUGUGAUACAGUGAGUGCAAUUUCAGGUGUCUGGUGUAUCAGGAGAAUGUGUGACCAGUAUCAGGAAAGUGUCUUAAAAACUUCAAAUUGGGGAAUUUUCUAAUAUCUAUUUUCCAGGUAUGCAUUUGCAGCACAGUCCCUCCCUAGGCAUCUGUGACCACGGUUCCAGUUCUGGAUCAGAUGGCCCCUCACAACCCACCUCCCAUCCACAAAACUGGAUGUACCCAAUUGCUUGCCAUGUUUCCAUGCACCAUCUGGCCUGAAAAAAGCCCUGGAUCACCUGGCUGUAUUGCCAGAAUCUUUUUUUCUGGUGAGAAAUGCACGAUUGCUGCAACAGGGAUUUAAAAAAUCAGCACUUCGUUUGGAGGAAAGCAGGCUCUGAAUAGCCAUUAGGAAAGCCCUGUGGCAAUUCUUGACCUGUCAGCAGCUACUUUGGUUUUCCAGAUUUCUCAGUUGCGUGAAAACUACAUAUCAUGAGACUGCUUUUCUUUAAAUUCAGUGAAAUACAGUAAUUCAGGCAACUCUUGAGCUGUAGGUACUUGGAGGUAUUUCCUCUGUAUGAGUGUGACAAAGUAGGACUUGAAAUGUUAAUACUAGAUUUCCAAAUAACUUUGGAAGGGCCUUUUGUCUGUAAUGUGCUAGUCUGUCUUUUCUCUUUGUCUUAGAAGGAUCAUCGUUUUGAAGAUUUAAAAAAAAAAAAAAAAAAGCCACAUUAAAAAAUUGUCAGGUUAUGUAACAGAGCUUUUUGCUCUAUAUCGAGGCAGGGUAGCCUCUUAAAACUAAGAAAUAACACUGACAGACAGUAAGAGCUGCCAAGGGGUAGCAGUUUUUUUCUCUGGAGAUUCACAUUCAACUAAGAUAUCAAAAAGUACUUGAAAUUUAUUUCAAUCAGUAAGUUAUUUGCAGACGUAUUUGUAGAUGUUACAGACAGAUUCUCAGGGAUGCAUGAUCGCUUUCUGUCACAAAACUAAUGGCACAAAGGCAUCACUGCAGCAAAGGUUGUGUGUAGCCCUAGGCUGUUCACCUUUCUUUGUGAAGUGGCUGUGAAAUAGGUGAGGGUUAGGUGCUUGUAAACAUCUGUCCACCCAUUCCUGUUUCCAGUUUACUCCAGAGCAGAUCUCUCAGUAUAGGCUUCCACAGCUCUGCUUCAUCUGCCCACCCCGCUCCAAUCCUGACAGUUCACGAGGUGAAUUCAGAACUGUUUUUAUUAAAGUUGUUCUAAUUUGUAUUAAUUAGAUCUGUUCAACCUUCUACCUGUCUCUUCAGUCUCGUGGGUGACCUGUUAGUAGUAAAACAGUUAACGUCAUUUGGCCAUCGAUACACUUCUUGUUUUUCUAUAGGUGAGGAGACCUAGUUUCCACUUGUUAAUGGUUUUAUUUCAGCAGUUUGGCUCUGUCAAGUAGCUGACAGCCAUUGAGAUAUAUCUAUAGUCUCCUGGUAUUAUUCAUGAUUUCCUAGCUAUUGUCACUUUUAAUUCUUUGUAUCACAACAUUUGUUUGACACCAAUUAUUUUGGAACAUACACAUCCUCACUUGUAAACUUCAUGCAUCAGAAACAUCAAUUAUAUUCACCAUUUUUCAGUGGGGUAACAAAGGAUGACAUUUAGAAUUAAUGUUUUCUUGGAUUUAAGGCAAUGACUAUUAUCUUUCGUGAAGAUAUUUUAUUAGGAAAUUCUAAUUAAGUUGCAGUUAUUAUCUAUUCAUCUUCUCCCACCCCUACUCAGGAACUAAUUAUAUUAAGCAAAUUGAGGUUAAUAAACUGCUAAGGCAUCUUCUUUGCUAGUUUUCCUUUUGCCAUUACAACCUGAAAGCAUAAAAUAUAGCACUGCAUUUUAAUACAAAUAUGUUCUGAAUAUCUUGUUUUGCUUUUAGACAAACCCUUUCAGCAUGGAAGUGUAGUUCAGUGAAGUAUUACAUGUAAAAGGAAAGGCUUUAUUGGAGCAUUUGGUUGGAAACUAAAAUCUGCCUGCCCAUUUGGUUGGAAACUAAAAUCUGUCUGCCCGCUGAUGAGCUUUUGGUCUUUCUGAUACAGCUGCCUGCUUGGGUGAAAGCAGUCCCAAUAGGAGAGGCUGGAGGAGGGCAGGUGCUGAUCUCCCCAGACUGCACAGAGUGGCAGGGCCCUGGAUGCAGGAAUAGUCCUUGAUGGCCCUGACCAGACUGUGCAGCCUGCACCCACCGAUGCCAGGUGCCGUUCCUGGGAUCACAGGGCUGUGCUCAAGCUGGAGAGGUCCCUGCCCUGCCACCUCCGCUGCUGUGCUGAGCUCUCAGCUCCCUCCUCCCGGGACCUCCUGCUCUGUGACCCUUGUUGCUCGAGUCUAAUUCACUGGCUGCUGUCAUUUUCCACAGAGAGUCUGUUUGCCUCCACUUGCAUAUGCUCAAUGAAGUUAUCCCAUGUCUUUGGACUAGCUUUGCAGGGAUAUGUUAAGUCCCAAGCUGAAUGCCCCGUGUCUUUACCACAAUAGGCAAUAGACAUUUUCUGGACAAAACCAGUAAACUUAAGCAACUUUUAUUGAACUCAUCAUGCUUCAUAUAAGUUAUAUUUUAAAAUAAUAUACAAUGUAAUCUGGGAAAUCUCGUAACUGAACUUCUGCAGUUUUGUGAUCCAAUUAAAACAUUCCCUGAACCCACACAUCCCAUUGCCAAAAAUUUCUUAUGCUUUAAACCUUUGUACAUAAGUAACAAUUUGUCUUCAGCUGCAUCUUCUAUUGGUACCUCUGAAAUAGGUGUAAGCUUGCCUGACUUUUUAAAUUAGGAAAUGGUAUAAAUUGACAGCCUCAAGCUGUCACUGCACAUAGAAACACAGAGGUGUGUAUCUAUUAAUUCUGCAGAAGGAGCACGUUAAAUUCCCACUGUUCAUAAUCUCCUCUUGGAACUAAUACUGGCUAAUGACUUUAAUGGUAUCACACUUGGCAAAGAUUAAACACAUCUUUCAUCCUUUCCUAAAGCUAUUUCUGUUUUAAAGCAUUGUAGAUAGGAGACAAAGUGGACAAAGAGUGAUAUGUGUUGAAUUUAAGAGAUUACAGUAAAAAUGAGUGGGCUACGCUGGCAAAUCUGAUGGAAGUUGUCCAGUGUUUCUUCACUGGCAAAAAGUUAUUCCCUCAAGUCUGACAACCUAAUAGUUUUGAUGACACCCUGAUAGUUUUUUGAGUUCGGGCACAAUAAGGGGUGCUGAAAAGCUGUUCUCAUACUGUGACAGUGAAAAAUUUGCUGGAUUUUAAGGCCAGUGCAACUUUGCCAACAAAUGAAGUCUUUGGAGGAUGUGCAUGGGUGAGAGACCUCUGCUCUCUGGACUGGCUGCUCACCAAAGGACAGGGCAAUACUUAGAUUCCCCAGCUGUACAAUUUUAACUUGGUCUCUUAACUGGAUCCAGUGUGCUGAAAUGUCCCUGAAAUUUAGGCUUUGUAUCUUGCUAACCUCAGUAUUCCUUUAUGACAGUGCAGAAGAGCUCUAAUGUGGUGGUCUUAUUCAAGCCACAAGCAAACACAAGAUAUGAACUAUUUUAAAAAGAAUAUUCUUUGCCUUUCUGCUUUAAGAAUAUGCAUGCAGUAAAUAUUACUAUUUAUCCAUAAAUAAGAUUUAUGUUGCGGAAAAUUUCCUUCCAUAAGUGGCCUGCCUGGAGGGGUCCUUUUUGCCAGUGCUCUGUAGCUAUGCCUCACUUGGCUGCUAUUUUUCAUGCUUUGAAGUUGGCCUUUUCCAUUUCACCUUGCUGAAGAUUCUGCUGUCCCCAAAUGCUGCUGGUCAGAGAGAUUUGCAAGUGCCUUUGGAAAUCUGUGUUAUAGCUUAAAUUUUAAUUUAUAUUCAUUACCAUUUUUAUCUGGGCACAGUUUAGCCUAGCAUUGUAAAUGUUAUUAUCUGCUGGCUUUAACUGCCAGGGUUUGUACAAAAAUGUUGCUGUUUCACUAAUUAAACUGUGUCCCAGUGCACAGCAUCAGGCCUUGGGCACUUCUGCUAAUUGCACUGAGCUUUCUACCUGCUACUUUAUUUGGAUAAAUAUUAUCAAAAGGCUUUGAUAAUUAACAACCCUUCACAAAAUGUGCUUGUCAUCUGUCACUAUCCUCUCUGACUGCAUGUUUCCUCACCAGGAGGUUGAAGUGUUAUUCCUUAUAACAGCAUAUUAACAUGCCAAGCAGGGCAACUGAAAGAGGGAAAAAUGAAGCUGAAGAUUUUGGAGCUCUGGAAGUAAAGCAGAACCAUGUCAUAGCCAGAGCACUGGGCUGGCUCUGGGUGGGAGCAUCUUCAGAUUUCAGCUCCGUCCUUAUGUGAUGUAUGGAUCAUUUUGCUUCUGUGUAAGAAAAAAUCAAGCACUGGAAGGAGCAAUGAUCCAUGUUGAGAACAAAAAGGAGGGAGCAUCUUCCAACCUGCUUUACUACGUGGGAAUGACAAUGGCAUGACAGCUAUUAUCAUUCACUGAGGGCACAGAGGCUGGCUCUGUGGAGGCACACUGCUGAGGUGAAAUCUGCUCCAUUAUUUUCAAUAAGAGCAUAAACAGGUGGGUAUCUUCGAAACAAUCAUCAACACAGCGCUGGAUUAACUCCUGUACAAUGCCCUGCUGUACUUACAGCAGCUUUGGAUGUGUGCUUCUGUAACAGAUGUCCCCACGUUUAACAAGUGUCCCCACCUGCAGCAUGGCCAGUGGCCCUGACCUGCUCACACUGCGGCAGGAGAAUCGCAGGCACGGCAGUAAAUUGGCAUAAUUCCUCAGGCUCCUCUCUUGGCUCAGCCCAAGGUUUGUGAAAUUGAUGUCAUCCUUUGUCAAACAGCUUCCACACCAAUAAACAGGAGCAAAAAUAACUCCUGUCUCCUGCCUGCUGGCUGAUUAAGGUUUUUAGGGUCAGGAUUCUCUCUUAGUAGCUGUCCUAUAACUGCUACGGUACAGUCUGGUCUCAGUCAAGCCCUUUCAGGGCUGUUUUUGUACCAGUGAGUACAAUCCAGGUUUGGGGCUGAAUGGCCCAUUAUAUCCCAGUCACAUUCCUAAGCGGCAGCCAAGGCUCCCUGCCUGGUAAAGAAAAUAUACAGCAGCAAGUUUUAUGACUUACUGAGGCUACAGAUAGAAUGCAAGGUGGCAUGUCUUUCUUAAGGUACAUUCAUUUUCAUCAAAGUUCACUGCAAUUUGAAGUAAAAAGGUUGUCAAUUUUCCUUAUUGAAAAGCACAGAGAAUCAGAGAAUAUCUGAGUCGGAAGGGACCCGUCAGGAUCAUUGAGUCCUACUCCUGGGCUUACACAGGACACCCCAAAAAUCCCACCAUGUGCCAGAGAGCAUUGUCCAAAUGCUUCUCGUACUCAGGCUUGGUGCUUUCACCACUUACCUGGGGACCCUGUUCCAGAGGCCUCACCUCCCGGAGAAGGUGUGUUUCAUAGCAUGAGGGAGCUCUCUCAUCUGCUGCUGUGAGUGUCACUGCAGGGGCUGACAGCUCACUGACUCAGACCUGCAGUUCAGCAGCCAGCCCCUGUUCAUGUGCCCAGCACUGCUGCUGGCAGGACCUGGAUGGGAGCCCAGGAUCCCCAUGGGAAAACACAUUUGGAGAGAGGGGCAGAAGAGGAGAAGGACCCAUGGAAGAUGGAGGGCUCAGUAUCACAGUCCAGCAGCCACAGGAUUAAUGCUCAGCUGCUUUUUGUCUUGCAUGAAAUACCCAAGAGAUGGGAGUUUGGGAACCGAAUGGUGACUCUGAGUGAGUGGUACUGGCACAGUGAAAUCAGUUGUGUCAGUGGAUUUGAGCACAGCUGGAGCCAUCAGCUGGGUGCUGGGGAAAGGGAAGGGGAAGGAAUAUGGGUCUGAUCAUGGCCCUGGGGACACUGCCCUGUGCUGAUGUGCAGGGGGCAGGGAGGCAGUGGGACAGGCACAGCCUGCCAGCACAGUGGCUUCAGAGCAUUGGGACACCAGUGCCUAAGGGCUGAAAGCCUCGUGGUGGAACAAGAACCUACCUGGGUCCUGCAUGAUCCGGACAGAGCAGAUACCACUGUCCUCUGUUAUGGAUCUGCUCAUUUACCUCUGGACUCAUGGUUUUGAGACAGCUUGGCCUGAACCUGAUGUACCAUAUGAACUGAAGUAACUUGUAUGAUAUUAACGCAGUUGGGUCUUGGAAUAAUUUCUGUCAGAUAUUUCAGAUAUUUAUUGUCUGCAUGCUGGUUGCUGAUACUCACCUUCCUUAGACCCAAGCGAGCUGCAAGAAGCCUGUAAUCCUUUUCUCUCAGCACAUCAGUGUAAAGCCUCAUGAAUCUCUAUUAAAUUUGAGAGAGAACACGAAGCUAGUUUGCAGCUGCCUUGUUGAUUUUAUAUUUCCUCUCAUUUCAGUGCCUUGCCAUGAAGCUGAGAAUUAAAUGGCUAAUAAGGCAUCUGCUCCAAGCAGGAGUCUCAAGAUUGUGACAAAAACAGCUUACAUCAAGGUUUGGGUUAUUGGUUUUUCUUGCCAUCAUAUAAUCAUGUUAUUAAAAUCAUUAGGGAUACCUGAUUAAGGGUAGUGACUGUCAAAGGCAGCUCAGCUGGCAGAGCAGGUAAGUAGGAGUCUCCUGGACUUAGCUGGGUGCUGGAGCUGUGUCUGGGAGGUGGCUGGAGCUGUGGGGCUGGGCAGCGUCCACAGGCAAAGUGCUGUGGAGGCACAGGGGCCCAGCUGGCUUCUGCUCUCUGCAUAACCUGUGAUGGAUAAGCUGAAAUCCUUGAAGAAAUGGACUCUGAAAGAAACAUGAAUGUGCUCUGUUUUGGGAUUGCAGAUGGAAAAUGCACUAAAACACCUCCUGGUCUCCAUCUGGAAGAGCAGAGCCCAAAGGGAAAGGAACCCUCUCUGCAAGCAGGAGGCAGGGUCAGACCGACUGUCAGACAGGGAGUUGGGCGUGGGCCUGGGAAGUGGCAGCAGUCCUGUGGCAUUCUGCACUUAUCCCAUAAGGACCCCAAGCUCAGCACAGGCCUGAGCCUGUCUGCUCUUGGGCAGGGCAUAAGGCUGAGCCAUCUGAAUGGGGGACAAGGAGACAUGCUGGUGAAACAGAGGUGAUGGGGCAGGAAUCACAA